rnacentral:rRNA from 1 species
CGCCUUGCCAGCCCGCUCAGAACUCAAAGGAAUUGACGGGGGCCCGCACAAGCGGUGGAGCAUGUGGUUUAAUUCGAUGAUACGCGAGGAACCUUACCUGGGCUCAAAUGUAUGUUGACGUAUUCUGAAAGGGAUACUUCUUCGGACAAUAUACAAGGUGCUGCAUGGUUGUCGUCAGCUCGUGCCGUGAGGUGUCGGGUUAAGUCCCAUAACGAGCGCAACCCCUAUCAUUAGUUGCCAUCAGGUCAAGCUGGGGACUCUAAUGAAACUGCCUACGCAAGUAGUGAGGAAGGUGGGGAUGACGUCAAAUCAGCACGGCCCUUACGUCCAGGGCUACACACGUGCUACAAUGGCCGGUACAAAGGGCAGCUACCUGGUGACAGGAUGCUAAUCUCAAAAGCCGGUCUCAGUUCGGAUCGGAGUCUGCAACCCGACUCCGUGAAGUCGGAAUCGCUAGUAAUCGUGAAUCAGAAUGUCACGGUGAAUACGUUCCCGGGCCUU